rnacentral:rRNA from 1 species
UACGGAGGGUGCGAGCGUUGUCCGGAAUCACUGGGCGUAAAGGGCGCGUAGGCGGCCACCGCAAGUCAGUUGUGAAAUCUCUGGGCUUAACCCAGAACGGUCAGCUGAUACUGCGGGGCUAGAGUGCAGAAGGGGCAACUGGAAUUCUCGGUGUAGCGGUGAAAUGCGUAGAUAUCGAGAGGAACACCUGCGGCGAAGGCGGGUUGCUGGGCUGACACUGACGCUGACAGCGCGAAAGCUAGGGGAGCGAACGGG